AGCUAUGUCUAUUUAUACAUCUAG
rnacentral:siRNA from 1 species